rnacentral:lncRNA from 1 species
CGCUCUUGCUUGUUGAUGGUGUGUCCUCAAUUUGUGCACUUGAUUUUCGCAUGGACGAAUGGGGAGUAGAUGUGGCGCUUACUGGUUCGCAGAAAGCACUUUCCCUUCCCACCGGACUCGGGAUAGUCUGUGCUAGCCCAAAGGCUCUUGAGGCUGCCAAAACUGCAAAAUCAGUGAGAGUUUUCUUUGACUGGAGUGAUUACCUUAAGUUCUACAAGAUGGGAACUUAUUGGCCAUAUACUCCUUCAAUCCAACUUUUGUAUGGACUCCGAGCUGCACUCGACCUUCUUUUCGAGGAAGGCCUCGAAAAUGUGAUUGCAAGACACGCUCGACUGGGCAAAGCAACAAGGUAACAGUAAAACCUCUGUUAGUACCUGUCAUGUUUUUGUUAAUUAGUGAAUCGCAGCGUAAUUUGCACUUCGCUAAGAUAAUACUUCCUCUAUCUCAUUUUAUGAGGAACUCUUUCUUAGUCUGUUGCAAGAAGAAAGGCAGCUUUCUAUAUUUGGAAUCUCAUUAACUUUAAUGACAUUCUCAUAUAGACACAGAAAUGCCAUGCAUGGCAUGUUCGAGUCCAUAAGUUCUAAGGGUCCUUUUUGCAUGUAGCACAAAUCUUUCUUUCUUAAACUCCAUGUCUAGUCAAACACUGCCAUAUAAAAUAAAACGCAGGGAGUAGUAUUUCUGAGAGCUGCACUCGACCUUCUUUUCGAGGAAGGUCUCGAAAAUGUGAUUGCAAGACACGCUCGCCUGGGCAAAGCAACUAGGUAACAGUAAAACCUCUGUUAGUACCUGUCAUGUUUUUGUUAAUUAGUGAAUCACAGCUUAAUUUGCACUUCCCUAAGAUAUUACUUCUUUUGUCUCAUUUUAUGUGGAACUCUUUCUUAGUCUGUUGCAAAAAGAAAGGCACCUUUCUAUAUUUGGAAACUCGUUAACUUCUAUAACAUUCUCAUAUAGACACAGAAAUGUCAUGCAUGGCAUGUUUGAGUCCAUAAGUUCUGAGGGUCCUUUUUGCAUGUUGCACAAAUCUUUCUUUCUUAAACUCCGUAUCUUGUCAAACACUGCCAUAUAAAAAAUGAAACGCAGCGAGUAAUAUUCUACGUCAACUUGAGCAUUAUAGCUUACCAAUUUUGGUUAUAAUGCUCAGAUUUUUCUGGAGAAAUGAUACAGAUUUUUCUGAAUGAGAAUGCAGACUUGCUGUGGAGGCAUGGGGAUUGAAGAACUGCACUCAGAAGGAGGAAUGGUUCAGUGACACCGUCACAGCUGUGGUUGUUCCUCCAUAUAUUGACAGUGCUGAAAUCGUGAAAAGGGCAUGGAAGCGAUACAACUUAAGCUUAGGUCUUGGUCUAAACAAAGUGGCAGGAAAGGUUUUCAGAAUAGGACAUCUUGGAAACUUGAAUGAGGUAACCUUUCCCUUUACUGCAGAUUACAUGUCUUAUUUGAUUACACAUUUUCUGAAGCCUAACAAGAUAAAGAUUAUAAGAUCAUCUCGAGCACGUGACUGUCAUUAUGGAAUUCAAGGUCAUUCUUGAAUGUGUGACUAUCACCAAGUUUUUUUAGAUUGUGGUUUGGUUCAGAGAAUUAUGAGAAUUUGUGUAGAGAUACGGUUAACAUACUACCAUAAUGCAUGUGCUCUGGUGUUUAAGUCUAUUGGAUCCAGAUGCUCAACAUCAUCAAGUUAAGGACUGUUACAACUCUAUACUAACUAACUAAAUGCAUAGAAUCUUCAUUCAAAGGUUUCUUUAUAUUUUUUCUUUCAUGUAAUGUGAAGGAGAGCUUUGACGUAACUGGUAUAUGACCAGGGCGCCAUGGGUUCGAGUCUUGUAAACAGUCUCUUGCAAAAAUGUAGGGUAAGGCUGCAUACUUGAGACCCUUGUAGUCCGGUCCUUCCUAGACCCUGCACAUAGCGGGUGCUUAGUGCACCGGACUGACUCUUUCAUGCAAUGUCUCCUGCAGCUCUCUAUUACCAUUUCACUGUCUUAGAGGUUCUGUUCUGGUUCAAUGUCAUGACUUUUUAAGUUCAAGCACCUCAUAAAUCAUUAAAUUUAGUAUUAAUACUUUUCCAGUUGGUUUUAUCCUAAAUUAGGCCUUUCCCCUUCUUUUCUUUUUUCUUUUUUUUUCUUUCACUUGUCAUAUAGUAUUUUUUUUCUUCUUCGUAUUCAAGUCUUGUUCUGUUAGACCAUACUUGUGGGAUUAUACAGAAUGUUUCUUUUGUUGUUGUUGUUGAAGUUCUCUUCAGUUAAUUUUCUCUUAUUAGUCAAGCCUC